GACGGAGGGUGCUAGCGUUGUCCGGAGUUACUGGGCGUAAAGCGCGUGCAGGUGGCUCAUUACGCCCGGCGUCGAAAGCCCCCGGCUCAACCGGGGAGGGUCGUCGGGGACGGGUGAGGCUUGAGGGUAGCAGGGGCUGGUAGAAUUCCCGGUGUAGUGGUGAAAGUGCGUAGAUAUCGAGAAGGACACCUGCCGGCGAAGGCGGUGAG
rnacentral:rRNA from 1 species